GCUCUGUUGGUAGAGCAUGGCCCUUGCAACGCCAGGGUUGUGGGUUUGAUUCCCAC
rnacentral:tRNA from 1 species